AUGAGGGUACCUGUGCAGCUCCUCAGCUUCCUACUGCUCUGGCUCCUGGGUUCCAGGUGUGAUAUCCAGAUGAGCCAGCCUCCAUCUGUGCCUGCAUUUCUGGGAGAGAAAGUCACCAUCACCUGCAAGGCCAGUAAGAACAUUAGCAAUUGGUUAAACUGGUAUCAGCAGAAACCAGGGAAAGCUCCCAGGCUCUUCAUCUAUGGUGCAAUCAGUUUAGGACCAGAUGUCCCUACCCGGUUCAGUGGCAGUAGAUCUGGGACAGAUUUCACUCUGACCAUCAGCAGCCUGAGGCCUGAGGAUGCUGCCACUUAUUACUAUCUACAGUAUAAUGUUCACCCUCUCACAGUGAUACACGCCAGAAUAUAA